rnacentral:rRNA from 1 species
CCUACGGGAGGCAGCAGUGGGGAAUUUUGGACAAUGGGCGAAAGCCUGAUCCAGCAAUGCCGCGUGAGUGAAGAAGGCCUUCGGGUUGUAAAGCUCUUUUGUCAGGGAAGAAACGGCCUGUUCUAAUACAGUGGGCUAAUGACGGUACCUGAAGAAUAAGCACCGGCUAACUACGUGCCAGCAGCCGCGGUAAUACGUAGGGUGCAAGCGUUAAUCGGAAUUACUGGGCGUAAAGCGUGCGCAGGCGGUUUUGUAAGUCUGUCGUGAAAUCCCCGGGCUCAACCUGGGAAUGGCGAUGGAGACUGCAAGGCUAGAGUUUGGCAGAGGGGGGUAGAAUUCCACGUGUAGCAGUGAAAUGCGUAGAUAUGUGGAGGAACACCGAUGGCGAAGGCAGCCCCCUGGGUCAAGACUGACGCUCAUGCACGAAAGCGUGGGGAGCAAACAGGAUUAGAUACCCUGGUAGUCCACGCCCUAAACGAUGUCUACUAGUUGUCGGGUCUUAAUUGACUUGGUAACGCAGCUAACGCGUGAAGUAGACCGCCUGGGGAUACGGUCGCAAGNUUAAAACNCAAAAGAGUAGUAGGACUGAGACGUAGCGAACGAGACACAGGGAGGUUAGG